GAACCUUUUUCCUUUCUUUAUUUCACCCGAUCUCCCUUUCUCUCUCUAUAUAUAUAUAUUCUUAAUUUUUAUUUAUUUGCACCAUAAUAAUAAUAAAGCCCUGUCUCGUUUUAAGUAUUGUAACCCCCAAUCACCGCUACUCUUUCCGAUUGAUCUGAGUCCCAUAACGCAUGUCAAGGCUCUGCCUGACUAAGUUCGUUUGGAUUCUAUCUCGGGACUUCGGGACAAGGUUGAAUUAGGGGUACUAUGCUUAACACGAGUGCAUUAUAUUUUUAAUAGCUUAAAAGUUAUACCUAAAAUUUAUGCCAGGAAUCCUUCUAGUUGAACCCUAAAGUUACACAGUGGGUCCAUUCUCUUUUCUCACUAUUUUAUUCUCUUUUUGUAAGUUACCCAAAACUAUUAUUUAUUACUUAUUAUUUCUAUUUUGUAAACAAACUUUCAUCAAAAGUCAUGCCUAUUAUUUUAUUUACCCAAUAGGGAACCAUAGUUGAGACACCCAAGUAAACCUGCACAAAUCCUAAAAUUUCCGGAACAAUCGGAAUCAGGAUCAGGGCCCCUAAAACUCAGGGGGGUAUUUCCUACUUAACAAUUAUCCUUAUAUCUCGCUGUCUAAAUUGAAAAUUAUCGUUCCAUCGACUCAGCAGGCCUAAGUAGGUGACGAAGCAGGCCUAGCCUACUUUGGAUUCCCCCGCGACACGCGACAGAUCCCGGGGAUCCUGUCGCGACACGCGGGCGGUUCCAAAUCAGGCUAUAAAUAGAGGGCAGUGGGACUUGCAAUUGUGCGUUCGUUCGACAAUCAAAUUCAAAUUAUACUCCGAGUUAUAGUAGAAACAGUCUCCAAAUCACUAAUCAGGAUAGCGGGGUGCUGCUACGAUGCCGGGUAAUAACUCGAUCGCUAUUACGAUUCAUUUUCCGGGAUCAAUAUAUCCAAAGAAUGUCUAAGUGCCGCCCACAUUGGGUUAUGCUUUGUCAUUUGUCGAUAAUUCGAUAAAUGAGUUGAAGCAUUAUACUUUGUCGUUUGUCGUUAAUACGAUAAAUGAGUUGAAGUAUUGCACUUGGUCAUUCAUUGGGAGAAUUUGAUCUCGUAAAUUAUCGUAACUGCUGUAUUGAUCAUUAACCCGGUUUUCUGUGCAUCAUUUCCUAAAUUAGGAUUAUUAGUCUCAAUACACUUACAAUCAAAGUAGAUGCUAAUUCUCAGAAGAAUCUGAACCAUAAAGCUUGUUAAUUCAAAUACUGCAUGCUUAUAUUGUGAGUCAUUCUCUUUUUAUUAACUAUUUUACAAUACUCCAAAUCAUUUUUCAAAGUUAUAAUUACAAUGAUUAAGUUUAUGUAAUCACCAAAUUACAGCCGGUAUGUGGGGUAUUGUGCACAAUAUUACUAUUGUUUUAAUCACAUUAGGUGGGCGAGCCUAAAAGUAAGUGAUAUACGUCACUCAUUGGGACAGCCAAUGGUGAUAUGACCACAGUCACAGAGCUGGUCUGUGACAAAUACCUAUUCUUGAAUGUUGGUAAUUACAAUAGAUUGGAGUAAGGAUUGGAUCCGACACUGAAAGACUUCAAGAAGUGGCUUAUUUUCAAAUUAAGAAAUAUUGUUUUUAUUAAAAGCUACCUUUGUAAAACAUGGAAUUUAUUCCAUCUAUUUAAAUAAAAUCCGGUGU
rnacentral:lncRNA from 1 species